rnacentral:ncRNA from 1 species
GUGUUGUAUGCAAGGAGAGAAGGUCAGCACUCCCCUUGACAAGGAUGGAAGAGGCCCUUGGACCUGACAACAUACACAUGGUUAAGGCAUGGCCUCGUACUUCAUUCAACAGAAUAGAUGCCCCCAAAUCCAUGAUUGUGU